rnacentral:rRNA from 1 species
UACGGAGGGUGCGAGCGUUAAUCGGAAUUACUGGGCGUAAAGCGUACGUAGGCGGUUUGUUAAGUCGGAUGUGAAAUCCCUGGGCUCAACCUGGGACCUGCAUUCGAUACUGGCAGACUUGAAUACGGUAGAGGGGGGUGGAAUUCCAGGUGUAGCGGUGAAAUGCGUAGAGAUCUGGAGGAACACCAGUGGCGAAGGCGGCCCCCUGGACCGAUAUUGACGCUGAGGUACGAAAGCGUGGGGAGCAAAC